UACAGAGGUCCCAAGCGUUGUUCGGAUUCACUGGGCGUAAAGGGUGCGUAGGUGGCCGGGUAAGUCUGAUGUGAAAUCUCUGGGCUCAACCCAGAAAUGGCAUUGGAAACUAUCCGGCUAGAGGAGUGGAGGGGGAACUGGAAUACUUGGUGUAGCAGUGAAAUGCGUAGAUAUCAAGUGGAACACCAGUGGCGAAGGCGGCUCUCUGGUCCACAACUGACGCUGAGGUGCGAAAGCUAGGGGAGCAAACGGG
rnacentral:rRNA from 1 species